rnacentral:rRNA from 1 species
AGGGUUUGAUCAUGGCUCAGAUUGAACGCUGGCGGCAGGCCUAACACAUGCAAGUCGAGCGGUAGAGAGGUGCUUGCACCUCUUGAGAGCGGCGGACGGGUGAGUAAUGCCUAGGAAUCUGCCUGGUAGUGGGGGAUAACGCUCGGAAACGGACGCUAAUACCGCAUACGUCCUACGGGAGAAAGCAGGGGACCUUCGGGCCUUGCGCUAUCAGAUGAGCCUAGGUCGGAUUAGCUAGUUGGUGGGGUAAUGGCUCACCAAGGCGACGAUCCGUAACUGGUCUGAGAGGAUGAUCAGUCACACUGGAACUGAGACACGGUCCAGACUCCUACGGGAGGCAGCAGUGGGGAAUAUUGGACAAUGGGCGAAAGCCUGAUCCAGCCAUGCCGCGUGUGUGAAGAAGGUCUUCGGAUUGUAAAGCACUUUAAGUUGGGAGGAAGGGCAUUAACCUAAUACGUUAGUGUUUUGACGUUACCGACAGAAUAAGCACCGGCUAACUCUGUGCCAGCAGCCGCGGUAAUACAGAGGGUGCAAGCGUUAAUCGGAAUUACUGGGCGUAAAGCGCGCGUAGGUGGUUCGUUAAGUUGGAUGUGAAAUCCCCGGGCUCAACCUGGGAACUGCAUUCAAAACUGUCGAGCUAGAGUAUGGUAGAGGGUGGUGGAAUUUCCUGUGUAGCGGUGAAAUGCGUAGAUAUAGGAAGGAACACCAGUGGCGAAGGCGACCACCUGGACUGAUACUGACACUGAGGUGCGAAAGCGUGGGGAGCAAACAGGAUUAGAUACCCUGGUAGUCCACGCCGUAAACGAUGUCAACUAGCCGUUGGGAGCCUUGAGCUCUUAGUGGCGCAGCUAACGCAUUAAGUUGACCGCCUGGGGAGUACGGCCGCAAGGUUAAAACUCAAAUGAAUUGACGGGGGCCCGCACAAGCGGUGGAGCAUGUGGUUUAAUUCG